CGGCGAGACAGUACUAGAGGAGGGUACAUUUUUUUCACCGGAGCGCGGACAGACCGUUAAAACCGAACAAAUCCUUUUUAAACGAUUCCGGUUUAUUUGUAUUCUGUGCUGUAAGACACUGUGCUUUAAUAGCAAACUGCAAAAAAGGCAGUACGUAUUGCUUUCCUUUUAAUUUCACAAUGGAACGUUUCACAAAAACAGUAGACUACUUUCCUGUGUUUAAGUGACCGGUGAGUCUGGGAUGGAAUGGAAUAAGUCUGGGAAGCGUCAAGGGAGCAGGAAAUGGCGGGUUAGUCACACGGAGGGGUAGUGACGGGCGGUAUGCUAAGUGACAAAUAGGCAGAAAGGAACUCAUUAAAACUGGGGUUUGGGACUCAUCAGUGCCCACGAGCAUCAGCCCAGUUUCUAACAUUCACGACGUUCGUAGCUUUUUAAUGGUAAUACCUCCUAAGAGAUUGGACCGUGAGUAUUUUAGGCACCGGGAGAUUCAAGUUUACGUCUCGCUUCUGUGCUGAAGGGAGAUUGGUCAGUAGUGGGGGAAGGAAAACCAGAUUCCGGCAAAGCUUUUUAGCUUAGGGCAGGCAGAAGGCUUCCCCGUGUUGUGUCUUCAUUCAUCAUUGGGCAUUUUGCAUUAAAAACCCACUCUCCUCACAACCAGUGCUGAUAAUCUCUCACCCUUUGUCCAAAUAUGCGUUGAUAUAUACUACUGAAGUGUGCAACUUAAUGCUAUUGCUUUGUCUAGACAAAAUAUGAGCACUCCACACUGAGUAAAGGUGAACGAGGAUUCUAUGCCUGUAGUGCAGAAGUGACCUAUUUAUGUAACCCAGGGUAUUAUUUACAGGAGACAAUAUUUGUACCCCACUAUCGCAGUAUAUUUCAGUGCUGCUUGGAAUUAAGUUUGCUUUGCUUUGUUUUUAAAGUGGAAUUAGAAUUUAGAAUCAGCGCUGCUGUCAACUAAAGAAGAAAGAAAAGUGCAAUGAAAUUUCUCUCUCAGAAAGCUCUGUUAAUGCAGCUGGUCUGCCAUCUAUCCAGCAGUUGUGCUUUUUGCCUAGUGGCCAUCAUGGAGAUACAGGUAAGUAAAUUAGGGGUAGGUGCCGCUUUCAUUUACUGUCUGAUUCUGUUCUAUAUUUAAUCACUGCACUAUUUGUCAUCGUAGAAAUUUGACAGUGUUUCAGAACACUGAAAAGCUGGAUGCAUUUCCUAUGGCAUCACAGGUUAGGCAGUCUUCAUUCAGCUUUUGGAGAUCGUGGAUAGAAGAGGGGUUACAAAUAUUUAUCGGAAGUUGCACUAAUUGUGAAGAUCAGCAUAAGCAAUGUCAUUUGUAAUGCACACAUCUCAGAGGAAGCCUCUCAGUACGACCUGCAAGUUAUCAAAUAUGAGAACAUUUUCCCUCUUUGAGGAGCAGAAAGUUAACAGGUAUACAUAUUUAAAUACCAGAAGUGAGGUAAAGAGAAGCAUUUGAAUUAAGGCACCAUUAUUUACAAAUUCCACUAUUGGCACUCACUCCAAUAAAUCACAGAGAUGCACUCAUCUGGGAGUAAAUGCAAUGCUAAGGAGUUUUUCCAGCCCUUCAACCUUCAUUUCUACAGGCGUGUGUGAAGCCACCAAAACUUUUACCCAUCACAGCCUCUGUGAUGUCUAGUGUCUAGAUGCUAGUGUAAGAAUAGUCCUAGAAAUAUGUAGUUUCUUUAAUAUCCUCCAGCAUCACGCCACGGAUGACAUAAAACAAAGGAAUUAUAAAGCAAAAAAAUGUGUUAUAUCCACAGGCCUAACGAUUAAGUAAUGGUUUAAGCAACCGGUAUCUGUUCAUUGUAUUGUCACAGAUGGUUUAAAAUCCCCUUCCUUUACCUGCAGCUCUUAAGAAAGGUUCAAAAUAAUGCUUUGAUAACACUGCAUAAGAAUAAUCCAGCAAUGGUUUUCUAGAAAUCCUCCAAAUUAGGCUACAUGAAGGUUGGUCCAAUUUAUCAGUUGAAACGCAGUCUCUUAUUUUUAAGAUGCACAAGUUAUUUUCAAGUCAGAAGAUGCACAAAGCACAAGUGAAUGCAACUGUUCCAUUCUUACUCAGCUGUAGAAAUGAGUUCAUAGAUAGGGCACAGCAGUUAGUCGAUACCAGUUAACAGUCUCCUUGCUCAAGUUGAAGUCCUUCAGAGAGAGUGUAAUUCCACCCAAGAAGAAGUUCUCACGUAAUGAUUCCGCACUGAGCACACUCAGCUGGAGUUCUCUCUGCUUCAGAGUUUCCACGCUAUAUCCACUGUACACAAGCUGGAAGGUAAGAAGUCAAGAAUUUUGGUUAUUCAAAUGAAGUGACACAGGUGGCUCCUUUUUCUGCCUGCCUCACCACUGAUGUUGAAUUGCAGAUCGCGGCCAUUCCAUACGUCUGCUUUUCUGAGGCUAGGCUGAAGCCCAUGCAUAUUUCAUUACGUGCUCUUAAGUGUUUAAAAGGACCAAUGUUUUUAGAUAGAAGUACUGUUUACCUGUGGUAUGUUCUGAAUUCAUUCUUUUCCACAUUCUGAAUCAAUGAAUCGAAGGAAGAAUCUUUAGUUUUAAGACUCUUUCACUUCUCACCAUCACUCCUCAAAGUCAAGUCUAAGAAAUUUCUGCUAAUUUGUAACAUAGGCCCAUUUUAUUCUUUAUUUUUUUUUAACAAGGCACAAAAAGUUUUGGAAACAAGUUCAUUUUGGAUUUAUAUAUAUAUUUGCAGGGUGAUUUUAGACAAGAUUUUGAUUACUGCUUAGAAUAAAAGAUGAUAGCAAACCAUACAGAGUUGCUACAAAAAAUUGAACUUGCCAUUUCAUUGAAAGUUGGAUUUCUCGUCUUCCGGGAGAUUUUGGUUUUGCGUUUGGAUGUUUUGUGCGUGUCUGGCAAUAAGUAUGUUUUUACGUAGGGAUUUGGAUCUGCACCAUCUUCUGUAACCUGGAAUCCAAAACCAAGACGUGUUAGAAGAUGAGUUGGAAAAGUAGUUAUUGCACACUUACACGACUACUUUCGAAUUGCUAGUCUUAACCACCAAGCAGAUCAAAAGCAGCAGCUGAUAUCUUUGAUGUGCAUCACCAUGAUAAACAGAGUGCUAUUUCUGUAUGAUAUGGAUAGCUUCACUUCUCCACCCACUUUGCCUGAGGUUGGGUUCAGCUACUCAGGUUUCCUGCACAUUCCCAUGGACCUACUUCAGAAUCUCCUGGAGCAACACUUGGAGGCCAGGUUAAAUUACGGUGCCUUUCAUCCCUCAUUUCUAGAAGCCACAACACACAAACACAAGAUGUCUGGCUUUUGUAAGCGCUUCGAGAAAAUCCCCACUGAGAUUUAAGCAUAUUCAGCACAGAAAUUCUUAAAGAAUUAAUGCAGUUUUGAAAAGUGUGUUAAAUAUUGAUCCUUAUUUCAACCUACCAGAAGCUAGGACAGUAACUUUAUUUGAAAGCUAUGCCUAGGUGCUUAGACUUAAAAAAAAAAAUUCUAGAGAUCAGAUUAUGAAAAUGGAAAACUGGAAACUUCUCAGAAUUACUUCUGUACAAGCAAGUUUGAGGGCAUUCUGCAAACUCAGUGAUUAGAUUGGAAGAUAUUAGCUUCAUACUAAAAACUGCAUGUCACAGGAAUUUAAAUGUUAAUGCUUAUUAGAAUAUACAAAAAAAAUCACUUCAUUCUCUGCUUAGCAAUGGAAAAUACCUUUUAAAGCUACCAAACAUUUGCGCGUGACCCAGAAACUUUCCAAAGUCAAUGUGAAACAUAUGCCCUGUGUUUCGAAGCAUUAUGUUAUCGUUGUGGCGGUCACAAAUUCCCAGGACAUAAGUAGCGACACAGCAUCCUGCACAAGAAUAAAUGAAGUUUUCUGAAGCCUUUUCGUAUUCCUCCUCUGUAGGAUUAUACUUUCGCAACCAUUCUGCCAGAGGCUUGUCUUUAAAAGAACCUGUCACUCCAUAUUCCACUUGAAUUUUCCUAAGUGUUUCCGAUGCAGGAACAAGUUCUACCAUACCUCGAUCCUUUCCAGUUGAGAGACACUUGAAGAUAACCAUCCGUAGAUCCAGUCCCUCCUGCAGCCAGAUCUUAUCCAUGAUCUUAAUCAUCUGUAAAGCCAACAUAUCUUGUCGCAGAUCUUCUCCAACCUUAAUGGAAAUACAGAAGUCAAACAGAAACAUGAUAUGCUUUCAGCAGAACUGAACUGGAGAUGUUAAUUGCUUUAUAUUUCAAGUGCAGGAUACAUUACCCUGCUUAUUUCCUUACAGCUACACACUUAGACUACAAGCUAAGGUUUCACAUGCAGUAUACUGACUUUCACAUUUUACAACCUGUUCAGAUGUUAGUUAGCUUCUGAAAUUGUAAUGCUUAAAGAUACCUUAUGAAAAUGCUACAUCUCUUCUUAUUCCUUUUUAUAAUUAAAGCCUAUGACUUCACUCUGAGAAGAUGUGAGAAAGUACAGUUUCCCCUGGAAUACCUGUCCUUAAAAGAGAGCAGCAGUAACUCCUACCACUACCAGUUCUCCUACACAACUUUAAAGAAGUCUUAAGCAGUUAUGACAGAUGUAUCAUGCGUAAAAUAUAUUCUUGGCCACCCAAAAAGGAAAUUCUGUGGAUACUUUCAAGAUUCUGAAACGUUCAUUCAAGGUGGUGUCAUGCCAGCACUAAGGUGGAAGUUUCCUAUUGUACAGUUAUGAAAUUGAGCUGCUUACUGAAAAAACUAGCCAUCUUCAGACAUCUCUUCCUAAUCGUGGAACUGAUGAGACGGUUUCUAGAUGUACAAGAACAAGCUUACAAAGUAUUUAAGCAUACUGAUCUAUGCUGAAGUUAAUCAUUCUUUCAUUGGUAUCAACUACCAUUUAACAUUUUUCCAAUACACACGUAAGGCCUACCUUAAACAUCACAUUAAUUUCUUCUCCCAGAGGGUCUGCAUUUAUCAGUGCAAUUUUCAGUGGUACUGCAUUGGAGCUGAAGAAGGAGCAUGCCUACAAGUAGAUUUAUUGUUACUAUUCAAAAAGGACUACAAGGGCUAGUGCAGGAAACAUGACAUUCUGACAACAAGCACGUAUGACACAAUGUGCAUAUUCACACUCAUAACAUUGCAAUUGUGGUGAAAGUGUUUCCUUUGAACAAAGGGCCCUUUAGCUGAUAUUUGUUCAAUUCUUGUACAAAAGCCAACAGUUCAGCACAGUAAUGUUUUGUGUUGCAUCGAAGAAUGAGUAAAACAUGGAUAAAUAUUUUACCAGCAACUUUUUAAAACUUAAGACUAUAAAAACUGGAUAUUUGUGCCUUUCACUAUGUUCUCAUUUAUCUGUUUUCAAAUACAUAUUCAUGAUUUAAUUAAGACACUUGUAGUAGAGAAGGAAAGCAAAGGGAACUCUGGAUCUACUCUGGAUUAAAUCCCAUGCUCACGGACCUUUAGAUUCUCAGUUACGCACAAUGAUAUAAUCAAGGCUGUCAAACACGGUCAAACUUUGCAGAGUUCAGCAAAAACUCAUUUAUCAGCUUCUACACUAUCAUUUGUUGGACUUUUAUAAUGAAAUAAAGCUACUGCCUGUUUCCCUGGCACAACCAGUAACAGGCACAUUCACUGAUUUCACGGUAUUUAUUCAUUGUUUUAUCUUUAUAGCGUUAUUCACUUUUCUCUUUUGAUUACUACUGAAAACAAGACCUUCUCAUACGCUUUUGAGUAUUCCUCUCCUACAGCCACAAUUGCUGGUCUCAAAGCAGAAAAGGUCUGAAGAAAUAAUCACAUUUUAAUUAUUUACUAACAGGACCUUCCCCUGGUAUAAGUAUUUGUAUAAUUUUUCUUUUCUUAAUUAAUUUUACUCCCUCUUUCAAUCAGCAUUUUUAAUUAGAACUCUCC
rnacentral:lncRNA from 1 species